rnacentral:SRP_RNA from 1 species
GCUGGGCAUGGUGGCACAUGCCUGUAAUCCCAGCUACUUGGGAGGCUGAGGCAGGAGAAUUGCUUGAAUCUGGGAGGCAGAAGUUGCAGUGAGCCGAGAUUGUGCCACUGCACUCCAGCCUGGGUGACAGAGCGAGAUUCUGUCUCAA